UACGUAGGGGGCAAGCGUUGUCCGGAUUUAUUGGGCGUAAAGAGCGUGUAGGCGGCUUUACAGGUCCGUUGUGAAACUCGAGGCUCAACCUCGAGACGCCGGUGGAAACCGUAAAGCUAGAGUCCGGAAGAGGAGAGUGGAAUUCCUGGUGUAGCGGUGAAAUGCGCAGAUAUCAGGAAGAACACCCGUGGCGAAGGCGGCUCUCUGGGACGGUACUGACGCUGAGACGCGAAAGCGUGGGGAGCGAACAGG
rnacentral:rRNA from 1 species